rnacentral:rRNA from 1 species
CAGCCGCCGCGGGAACACAGAGGGUGCGAGCGUUAAUCGGAUUUACUGGGCGUAAAGCGUGCGUAGGCGGCUUCUUAAGUCGGAUGUGAAAUCCCUGAGCUUAACUUAGGAAUUGCAUUCGAUACUGGGAAGCUAGAGUAUGGGAGAGGAUGGUAGAAUUCCAGGUGUAGCGGUGAAAUGCGUAGAGAUCUGGAGGAAUACCGAUGGCGAAGGCAGCCAUCUGGCCUAAUACUGACGCUGAGGUACGAAAGCAUGGGGAGCAAACAGGAUUAGAUACCCCCGUAGUCCCUGUCUCUUAUAA